AUGUCAAGAUAAGGGGCUUAUGCUCUCUUGGUGGAGUUAAUCAUUGCCUGGUGUUUGCUGGGGGCGUUUUUCUCAAUGUUAUCUAGUUUGCGGCAUAGAAUGCCUCAUUAUCAGGAGCAUUGCAAAUGGAGCUGAAUCUCAUCAGUAGAUAUCUGCGCUUCUGAGCUCAAGACGGAAGGCAGCCUCUAGAUGAAGCAGGCAGAGGACAGCUCAUUACAAGGUAUGACUUCUGCCAUGUUAUCAUUCACCAGAGGUGUUGCCAGCGUUUGUCUUCAAGGAUGUGUUGGGCCUUAAAGUUGUAGAUGAGGGGAGGGAAUGCACUUCGGCUGAUGGCUCAUAGUGCACCUGUUCUGAACAGAUGGCUGUGUUACAAUCGAGGUGUUUGCUGUGCUAUUUCAGAGUCUGAAGUCACAUCUAGGCCAGUGUCUAACUCAAUCGGCCCCUGCUGUGAAGGUGUGUGGCUGGGGCAAAUUAGAGGGAGGUUAACUCUACAAACUAUCCUGUCCCCACUCUGGGAAUGGGUGACAGAACAUGUGUGGAGGGAAGCUUUGCCCUGCCUAUCUUUUUCUGCCCCUGCCCAAUGAGAAGGGAGGGGAAAGGUUUACAGACAUGACAGUGUAGAGGGAGCUUUGCACCAUAACUAAUCUAUUCUCUACCCGCCCCUGGGGAGGAUAGUGUGUUUGCUGACAAAACAGUGUAGAGAGAGUUUCACUUUGUAAUCUAGCCUGCGGUCCUUGUUCUAGAAGUGUUUGAAGGAACAGUUUAAGGGAGGUUUAUUGUAUCCAAAUGUGUGGUCAUAACUUCUGAGGCAAGCUUUUUAUCCCAGACCUAUUUAAUGAACUGAAAUUUAAAUUGCACAGUGUGCAUUUACAUAAGCACUUUGUUUUUCAAACAUUUGUUCCAGGGUUCAGACUCUUUGGUCAAACUAAGAAAGCAAAUGUUCUUGUAACUCCUGAUCCAGGAGAUGUUAUUUCUGCCUCUCUGUGGCCUGCCCUCUGGGGAGGCAUUCCAGUUCUUCGUGUUGCAGGACAGGCACAACCGGUGAUCCUUGUGCUUUCACGGGGCCAGUGGAAACAUCCCUGUGAAGCUUUGAGGUAAGGACUGCAGGAAAAUCAGAAUUCCCUUAUCCAGAAGAGGAGUACGAUGAGGGCAAGCCACCUGCAGUUCAGAGCAAUCUGCUGGCACUGGGGCCUUCCAUAUUAAGUGUUAGUAACUGGCUGCUGCUGUUCAUUGUAGUGCAUCCCCCUCCACUGGGCACUCAUUGUAUUUACUCUUCCCAGGGAAUAAUCCACCCUCCUCCUGGCUCACAACACCAGUGCAGAGGACUAAUGGAUUAACUGCUGCGUUAAAUCUGCAUGUGAAUUCAUGUCUGGUCAGACCUCAACUCCCAGGAACUAGUAAUGGUCCAGCGAUUAAAGAUAUUCUCAUGUUGCCACCCUCUUGAGCUCUGCCUUACUGCCUUGCAGUUUUAAACUUCCUCUGAAUGUUGUUCCAUUGUUGGUGCUGAUGACCAGAUUCCAUUACCACGACCGGUGGCGGUCCCCUGUCUGAUAUUAACUCGCAUGAAAUGGAAGAAGGUUGGUAUGUCACUGCAGCAGACCAUUGGGAAAGACCGGCACAAAAAGCUGGAGCAACUCCGCGGGACAGGCAGCAUCUCUGGAGAGAAGGAAUGGUUGACGUUUCGGCUUGAGAUCCUUCUUCAGACUGGGAAGGACAGAUUACACGCUGGUCUUUGGCUGCGAGGGGCUUGGAUUAUGAGAGUCCUCCACGGUUGGGCAGGAUUCGCUGAGACCUUGGCUGUGUACAAUGUUGGUCUCCUUAUCUCAGAAGUAACUCAACAAAGGUUCAAUGUGCAGACACAACGAUACUGAUAUCUUGAGCCAUGCACAAAGUGCUGGAGGAACUCAGUGGGUCAAGUAGCAUCUGUGAAGGGAAUGGACAGGCACCGUUUUGGGUCGGGAAUCUUCCAGAGUUGCAGGAAGUGCCUUGACCUGAAAUGUCCCUGUCUGUUCCUUCCACAGAGGGUGCCUGACCCCCUGGAUUCCUCCAGCACUUUGUGUUUUGUUCAAUGUGCAGAAGCUGAAGUAGGUCAUACGGUCCUUCAAUGCCCUACCAUCUAGUAUUAUGGCUCUUGUGUUCCUUCAUUGCCACGUACCUGUGUUCAUGGCAACCCUUAGUUAAUACCUAGAUAUCUUCUCCAUUCUUUGGAGCCAUAAACGUGAUGAUGUUUUCAUUUUUGAUUUUCUUCUCAUUCCUCUAUGGCCUAAAAUAAAUAUGUAUGGUUCGAUGAAAUCCCCGAGAGUGGUGUAGAUUCGUGUGUGGAGGAGUGAGUUUGGACUUUCCCCUCUGCCCUACCGACAGGAACAGUUGAGAAACAACAGCGAGAGGAGUCAGCCACGUGAAUACGUCGAUCCCGUCUGGCCGCUCUGCAAAGCCAAGGUUGCUCUGGUCUUGUCUUGGCCGCAGCUCCACUUUUACAACCUGUAUGCGUAUGAAUCGGAAGGAUUCAGAGAGCUGUGGGCCAAAUGCAGGCAAAUGAGACUACCCCAGGAUGCCACUUGGUCGGCAUGGAUAAGGUGGGUUGAGGGAGCCUGUUUCCAUGCUGUAUGGCUCUGAGGUCUCCCUUCCCCGAAGCCCUCCCUCCAGCACACCUAAAACUCACAUUGGCGACCUGUUGAUUUGUGGCUCUUAAAAUCUAAUAUGUGGAGCAAACACGUUCUUACAUUGGUGAUUUCCCAAAAUUAGCCACACUGUUACACCCACACCCCACAGACAACCACAUUCCUACACAUCCCACACAGACCAUCCAUGCACACCAUCCUACCUUUUAACACAGCGCCACAUAGCACUCUUGCUUUGGUUUCCGUGGCAGUUGCAAGAUAUAUGCAUCAGAGGUUAAUAGUCUUCGAUAUUGUAUUUAAAUGCUUUAAAUCCAAAUCCCUUGAGUGAGUAAAGGGACUUUGAAAAUGUAGAUAAAUUGUAAGUGCAACUGUUUUAUGUGAUAAUAAAGAUGAUUUUAUAUAUAUA